rnacentral:rRNA from 1 species
UACAGAGGUCUCAAGCGUUGUUCGGAUUCAUUGGGCGUAAAGGGUGUGUAGGUGGCGCCGUAAGUCGGGUGUGAAAUUUCGGAGCUUAACUCCGAAACUGCAUUCGAUACUGCCGUGCUAGAGGACUGGAGAGGAGACUGGAAUUUACGGUGUAGCGGUGAAAUGCGUAGAUAUCGUAAGGAAGACCAGUGGCGAAGGCGGGUCUCUGGACAGUUCCUGACACUGAGGCACGAAGGUCAGGGGAGCAAACGGG